rnacentral:lncRNA from 1 species
CUGGAUCUUACAAACGAUGCUACGCACCCCGCAAGGCAGGGGCCCCCCUUGACCGUGAAAGGCAGGCAGAACUCAGUGAGGAUAUUUCAGACAGCACUUGAAAUUAAUAUUUUAUGUACACAUACACACACACACACAUACAACACACAAAAAGACAAUAAGAGGAAAAAAUUUUGGGAAAUUUGCUGUUCAUGUGACUUUCUGCAAGGACACAGAACACACUUGUUUCCAAAGUUCCAAAGGUCUGGGUUCCCUCCCCAGUGCAUCUGGUCUCUGAACAGUCCAGUCACCCUCGGCCCCACCCCGUGUCCUAAGGCAGCCAGCCGGCUGGGCCCUGAAUAGCACAGAGCUCUGGUGGUGAGGGAGAGUAACUUGUCUUGGCAGGAUGGGGAGAGAGAAUGACGCACAUAACAGCGAGUGGAAAUCUGAGAAACGACAGAAGACCCAUCCUGCAGGCUGGGGUGGCCAAGGUGAACCAGCAAAGGUGACUUGCCACAUGGGUCCAAGAGGCUGGCAUGGCUCCACGUUGGACACCAAAGACUUCAGUUGAGAAACCAUCCCACCUGCCUCUGCACGCAAGAGCUCUGGGCGGGGUUGGCCAUGUGACCUGGGUCUAAGCCAAUCAGAGCAUCUCACAGCAUCACCACAGUGACUGAGCUCUGGACCCCGUGGGACUCUCUCCUGCUGCUCAUGAACCUGAGAGAAUAUGAGGCUGGAGCUGUUGCAGAUCCUGAGGGGAGGGCCUGCCUGCGAGGGUGCCAACUUAGGGGACACUGAGUCAACAACUGGACAAGGAGCAACCAGCUUCUGUUGGCAUCACGUGACCCCAUGCGGAAAGCCUGCCUGAAACUGGCCCUGUCUCUAGACUUCUCCAUGCCUUGUGCCCAUCAGAUGCUCUUGGGUUGACACAGCAUAGUUGAGAUUUCUGGCAUACGUGACACAGAGUCCCAACUGGUCCAGAAACGUAACAAGUCUGCUUAUAAAAUAUAUCUGGGCAACUGAACCCCUUUCCUUCUCUUCCCAAGUCCCUAUCUUGGCCCACACCAUGGGAACUUCCUGGGAAAGCAUGGAGGAGCAUGCUUGAGCCCAAACGUCCAUCCCUCACUCUCUCCUCUCCACAAGAGGAAAGACCCACACUAGUGGGGCCGGCGGAGUUGGAGUUGAUGGUUCAAGGCAGGGCUGAUGCCUCCCGGCCAGUCACGGCUCCUUCCAGCUCUACCCACAGAAAGCAGAUUAGAGGUUACCAGGGGCUGGGGCAGAGGGAGUGGGGAGUUAUUGCUUAAUGGAUACAGUAUCUAUUUGCAGUGAUGAAAAAGUUGUGAAAAUAGAUAGUGAUGAUGGUUAUACAACAUUGUGAAUGUACUCAACGUCACUGAAUUGUAUGGUUUAAAAUGGCAAGUUAUAUAUAUGUAUACAUUUAUAUAGACAUACUUAUAUAUAUAACAUAUCCAUUAAAAAUUUACCAUAAUAAAAG